rnacentral:rRNA from 1 species
UACAGAGGUCUCAAGCGUUGUUCGGAUUCAUUGGGCGUAAAGGGUGCGUAGGUGGCGCGGCAAGUCGGGCGUGAAAUUUCGGAGCUUAACUCCGAAACUGCAUUCGAUACUGCCGUGCUUGAGGACUGGAGAGGAGACUGGAAUUUACGGUGUAGCAGUGAAAUGCGUAGAGAUCGUAAGGAAGACCAGUGGCGAAGGCGGGUCUCUGGACAGUUCCUGACACUGAGGCACGAAGGCCAGGGGAGCAAACGGG